rnacentral:rRNA from 1 species
CGAUGAAAAGCUUGCUUUUCAAAGUUAGUGGCGGACGGGUGAGUAACGCGCGGGUAACCUGCCUCAUACAGGGGAAUAGCAGCUGGAAACGGCUGAUAAAACCGCAUAAGCGCACAGUGCCGCAUGGCACAGUGUGAAAAACUCCGGUGGUAUGAGAUGGACCCGCGUCUGAUUAGCUAGUUGGCGGGGUAACGGCCCACCAAGGCGACGAUCAGUAGCCGGCCUGAGAGGGUGAUCGGCCACAUUGGGACUGAGACACGGCCCAAACUCCUACGGGAGGCAGCAGUGGGGAAUAUUGCACAAUGGGGGAAACCCUGAUGCAGCGACGCCGCGUGAAGGAAGAAGUAUCUCGGUAUGUAAACUUCUAUCAGCAGGGAAGAUAAUGACGGUACCUGACUAAGAAGCCCCGGCUAACUACGUGCCAGCAGCCGCGGUAAUACGUAGGGGGCAAGCGUUAUCCGGAUUUACUGGGUGUAAAGGGAGCGUAGGCGGCGGAGCAAGUCAGAAGUGAAAGCCCGGGGCUCAACCCCGGGACGGCUUUUGAAACUGCCCUGCUUGAUUUCAGGAGAGGUAAGCGGAAUUCCUAGUGUAGCGGUGAAAUGCGUAGAUAUUAGGAGGAACACCAGUGGCGAAGGCGGCUUACUGGACUGACAAUGACGCUGA